rnacentral:rRNA from 1 species
UACGAAGGGGGCUAGCGUUGCUCGGAAUCACUGGGCGUAAAGCGCACGUAGGCGGCUUUCUAAGUCAGGGGUGAAAUCCCGGAGCUCAACUCCGGAACUGCCUUUGAUACUGGAAAGCUUGAGUUCGGGAGAGGUGAGUGGAACUGCGAGUGUAGAGGUGAAAUUCGUAGAUAUUCGCAAGAACACCAGUGGCGAAGGCGGCUCACUGGCCCGAUACUGACGCUGAGGAGCGAAAGCGUGGGGAGCGAACAGG